AUCUUGUUCUCUGGGACAUGACCUUCCUAAUUUUGCUACCGAUUACAAUGUUUUUGUCUUCUUAUAUGGACACUCAUGUUAGGUGUUGCCUAAAUUUACACUGACAUAGUCAUAUUUCGAAAUUUCAAUUGGUUUCAUAAUGGUGGUCUUUGCUUAAAGGAUCAGAGUCUUGUUGAGGGGCUUUUCCUGAAGGGUGAUCUUCAAAUUCUAUGCACGACAAGUACUUUGGCACGGCAUCAACUUACCUUCACAUAUAGUAGUGAUAAAGUCGACACAAUUUUUCAACAAAGAGAAGGGAUCUUAUGUAUAAUAUGAGAGAUCCAUGGUUCUCCAGGUGUUCUACUAAGUCUCAGUUGCUCCUGCAAAAUAACAUCUUAACAAACAAAGGAUAAGCACCACCAAGCAUUUAUUUGCUAUGCAUUUUUUUCCUUACAGCCUAAUAUACAUGUUGCCUAAGGUGUUUUUACUUGCUUACCUGAUUAAUAAAUGAAAAAAAAUAAUAGACAGGUUAACAAAUUUAGCUCAGGCCUCGUUAAUAUCGAUAUAAUUAUAUGUGAACUGUCCUUUGAAUAACAUAAGUUGGUUCUGACUUUGUUCCCGCAAAUGAUCGGAUAUGCUAAAUUAUUUUUCAUGUAUACAAGGAUUUGGUUAUCCUGUAAUGCAUUACCGUAUUUAUUUAAAGUUAUUUACAUUUUGUAAUUCAAAUAGGAAAUGAUGGUAUGUGAUAAUGCCCUUGCUUCUGAUAGAGCCUUUUUUUGUCACCUCACAGAUGUGUGGGAGGGAUGUCCGUCCACCAUUUGAUGAUACUGGAGCAUUCGUAAUUAUGACAAGAAGAGAGACAAUAAAUUUUAUGUGUUUUCCUCUCUUUUCCUCUCUUGUUAAUUCUGAAAUACCAUUGUCAGGAAAAUGAUUGAUUGUAACAAGCACAUAUGUUGAAGCAUAUACAACAUUGUUUCUUACCGCAUAAACUUAAUUUCCCCUCAUGUUGUUGACUUUCAGUGUUGAACCUAAAUAAGUUUUACGAUCUACAGAUUAUAGUUACAAGCCAAAAAAGCUUCAAGAAGGUAUUUUACAAUAAUAUUCAUGUGAUGAGCUAGCGACAGUCCAGUUUCAGAUUAUUCUUUGUGCAAGUGUUUUUUAAAAGAAUUAUCUAUGCACAUGUUGGUUCACUGCACUCACUAAUAGUUUCCUACAUAGAAACCUCUGCUGCACACUCAGGUUUAGAAGACAGAGCCAACCUUCUAUUCUACGCCUUAAGAAAAUAGAGCAAUCAGCAGUACCCAUGAAUACGAUAGGAAUAAAGAGUAGAGAAGAUGACACACACUUUUUGGGAUGUUUCAUAGAGAGUUGGACGUGCAUCUCUGUCUAAAUUUAUAGUUACACAACAAUGUUGAGCAUUUAUUUGGGGGCCAAUAUACUUGAACUUGUAUGAGUUUUGAUCAAGAAUGUACCGGUAUAAAUUAUUAUUGACUUGCUUAUGUUCAACUCAAAUUUAAGUAUGAGUCGCAUGUAUUUUGUUUUAGUGAUACACUGUAUAGGACAAGAAAGUAUAUGGUGAUAUUUUAUGUGAUGGACGCUUUCAGUGGAAGGAUUGUAAUGGAGGGGUUGCUAGGGUGAUAGAACCUAUUCAUUGGUUGACGACGACGAGAAACAAGGGAUUUAUUACGAUGGCGGCGAGACAACUGAUAAGGUUGGGUCGGACUCAACAGCUAGAAAUAACGCUCAAACGACAAGGAAGUUAACGAGGGCUGGUCAUAUCUAGUGCCCGAAGAAGUUAAACAGGAUCGCUACCUACAGGAGUAUGGAUUAUUCUUAAAAAAUCUCGUUAACCCAGAGCAUAUUCUUGGAGACAGAACUCUGGAAGUGAAGAUAGCGACUCCUAAGGAAGAAAUGCGAGCUCCAGGAAACAAGAAAGCUACUAGGAUAUUUGUUGCUGAGAUUCCAUAGUCUGUGGAUGAUUCAAUGUUUCCCAUGUCAGUCCUAGUACACAUUUUGUUAUUGUUGAUUUACCCAACCUUUAAUGUAUGAACUUGUCUAAGCGUUGAGAUUGUUUGGACAUCCAUUUUCAAUCUUUUGGAGAAAUAACAAAUCUUUAUAUGCCCAA